UGAUUUCGAGGAAUUCAUUGAAUGAGCCAAAAGCCUCGGAAGAGUCCCAUUUCCUGACCUCGAAGGCGGCAACAACAUAUUCAGGAGAUCAAAGAGCUUGGGUCACAAUUACAAGAAGCAAAUAUAAUCUAUGAUCCUGUGAAGCAUGAACGCUUGAAGAAUACAGGAGAUGGAAGAGCUUGGUUAUGAAUACACAAAGCAGAGGCUAGCUUGCAUAUACACGUAAAAGAUUCAUUUUGAUGAAUGGGAUUUUGAGUUAAAGAAAAAAAUGGAAGCCUCCUUUAAUGAUGUUUGCAAUGGAAACCUGAUCUCGCUUUUCAGCUAGGGACCUUUUGAGGUUCAAGUGCGUCUCCAAGAUGUGGAAGCUUACACUACAUCAGAAUCAUCCUCCUUACAUAAUAUUCACCAUCAAGCUCAUGAGGCAUCUCAGCCCUCCUUGUUCAUCAAAGGAGUAAUGAUAGUGGAAUGCAAUGUUUCUUUUUUGAAAUUGUACCCGAAGAUCUGAGAUAUCUUCAUCUGCAAUCCAAAUACCUGGCAAUGGAUGCUGCUGAGGCCCACUAAUUGUUGUUGGUGAGAUCUUUGGAUUGGCAUUCUUGCCAUUUGGUUCUUUGUCAAAGAUGGCUCCAUGUUUUAAGGUGGUGAACAUUCAACAUUCAAACUUUGACCAAAAUUCUCAUUGGAGACAUGAAAAUAGAGAACUUCCCUUGAAGCUUACGAAGAUCAUGAGGGAUUUUGUUGGUAUUUUCGACAUGCCAUAUUUUUUUCUUUGUUGGU